GUCAUAAUUCACGCACAAUACGGCGGGGUUCAUGUGGUUUACCAUCAAGCCGGGUCCUCGGUUCAGGAGGUACGCCGAUGGCGGCGAUUCGUAUCACUGUUCAGGUAUCGGGUGCAGGCAUGCCACAUGUCUGGUUGGCGGAAGGUAGGGGCUGGUUACUUGGCUCGCGCACAAGGGGACAAGCUGCGAAUGGCGGCCGCAGGGGGCGCGGAGGAGGGACAGUCCGGUCUGGAGGAAAUGUGGAAGCUCAACACGCCAUGCUUGGAGGAUCGAUACGGAAUCCUAUGGCACCGGGCACAGGGACUGCCUAUGUGAAGGUUUGGGAUAUGUGGGACAAGGCGGUUGGUUUCACUGGGGGGUCCCAGUCAAAGGAGGGGUGAAGGGAUACCUUGCUGUGGUUCCUAAGCCGAUUGUUCGUUCAGCGUUAGCUCCAUCAGAAAUGGACAGGAGCAUGGCGGCAUUGUCGUUAGGGUUCAAACUGACCGAUUGGGAGGAAGUGACGGAACGUUGUCACUUCCAUCAGGCUUUGCGGGUCUUACGGAGAGGUAUGAAAUAUGUCGGUGCCGGGCGGCUGGUUUCCUUCGGUAACGCAACUCCUGGUGGUGUGUUACUCUACUUUUGCAGUGAGUUUGCUUGCGGUGGCCUUCUCGGAGGCUUGGGGCAAUUCGGAUUGG